GAUGAAGAACGCAGCGAAAUGCGAUAAGUAAUGUGAAUUGCAGAAUUCAGUGAAUCAUCGAAUCUUUGAACGCACAUUGCGCCCCUUGGUAUUCCGAGGGGCAUGCCUGUUCGAGCGUCAUUAUAACCCCUCAAGCUCAGCUUGGUGUUGGGGCCUGCCGCACGGGCAGCCCUUAAAAUCAGUGGCGGUGCCAUCUGGCUCUAAGCGUAGUAAUUCUUCUCGCUAUAGAGUUCCGGUGGAUGCUUGCCAUUAACCCCCAAUUUUCUAUGGUUGACCUCGGAUCAGGUAGGGAUACCCGCUGAACUUAAGCAUAUUCAAUAAGCGGAGGA
rnacentral:misc_RNA from 1 species